rnacentral:rRNA from 1 species
UACAGAGGUCUCAAGCGUUGUUCGGAUUCAUUGGGCGUAAAGGGUGCGUAGGCGGCGCGGUAAGUCGGGUGUGAAAUCUCGGAGCUUAACUCCGAAACUGCAUUCGAUACUGCCGUGCUUGAGGACUGGAGAGGAGACUGGAAUUUACGGUGUAGCAGUGAAAUGCGUAGAGAUCGUAAGGAAGACCAGUGGCGAAGGCGGGUCUCUGGACAGUGCCUGACACUGAGGCACGAAGGCCAGGGGAGCAAACGGG